rnacentral:lncRNA from 1 species
CCAGAUAAUACUGUUAUUAAAACAGAGAUCAGUGCCGAUGACAAUCAGCCGUCCCGCCGAGCCCACCACGAUAAUGUCUUGUUUGAACUCCCCUGGGACGUUGAAGUUGAGCGUCACCGUGCAGCACACGCCGCCUUCCAGAACCAUCUGAAACGUACAGAAGUCAUCACUGGUGAUCUGCCGUAUCCCCUUGAUGUGGUCGGUCUGCUUCACGAAGGUCUUGAGCAAGCCGUGCACCUUCACAGCCUUCUGGCUGGUGAGGAACGUCAGCAGAUCAAUGAUGUAGGUGCCAACCGAGUGCAAACCUCCACCCCCCAUCAGGUCGUCACAGCUCCAGUUGUACUUCUUGCCCAGCAGGCUUCCGCUGUGAACCUGCACCUCGCACACCAGCAGCUCCCCCACGUAACCCUCCUGGAUCAGCUGCUUCAUCUUCACAAAGGCGGGCAGGAAGCGCAGCACGUUCCCCAUGAUGCUCAUGAGUUUUGGGUAAUAAUGAGCCGCAGUCAUCAUCCUGAAGGCAUCCAGCGGAGUCGCUGUUCGGUCACAGAUGACAUUUUUUC